rnacentral:ncRNA from 1 species
UAUGAUAGAGGUUGCGGCCAACAAGAGUACAUGUCCUCCAUCCGGCAGGCGCCGGGGCAUGGAAAGGGGCGGUCGCCGAAGGGCUUUGCCUGCGCCUGUGCGCAAGGCUCUGGGCCGUGGGAAAACAUCGCACGGACUGUCACGAAAGUGGAGCGCUGUCA